ACAUUAAAGACAGGUCUAUUGUUUUCACGCUUCCACGUACACCACUCUCUUUUUAACUUCUCUCUCCUCUUGACUCUUACCCGGCUACUCACAUACCCCUGCUCAUUUCCCUUCUCUCUUUCGGUCUCCUCCUUCAAACCCUAACCAUUUCCUUCAAGCCAAAUAGCAACGAUUCAAAUCAAGCAACCAUAAACAAAGAAAAGGAAAGAGGAAUGGCAAAAGAAAGAGAACAAAAUUAUGGAAAUUAAGCUCUUUGAUUUCUCAAACGCUAGAUCAAUGAGAAGUUUUCCUACUUUUUCAAUUUAAUUAUUUUUUAGAUGUGGCGCAAAAAUAGAUUCGACGAGUUGAUUGGAUGAUACUUUAUUUACCCGGAUUUGACAAGUUCAAGCAAUCGUUUGCAAUUUUAGAGGUCUAUAGCUUCUGGGUUUCUCCACAAAGUCCGAAAAUGGUGGGAUUUAAUGAUAUAGAAAUUGAGAUCUCUGUAUAUCAAGAUUCAAAUUAUGUAAUGAAUUGAAAUAAAUUUUUUUUCUUUACUUUUUUUUCGUAUUUGUACAGAAUUAAGUAUUAGUGUGGAUAUUUUUAUAUGAAUUUUGUACAUAUUAUGGUAUCUUAAUGUUUA